UUUUUAUUAAUAAUCGUUAUUAACACCAAUAACAGCAGCAGUUACAUUGUGCUCGCCAAGUGCUUUACAACCAGAAUCCCAUUGGUCCUCACACAGCUCUGGGAGGGGGGUGCUAUUAUGGUUCCCCUGUACAGAUGGGGAAACUGAGGCCAGCAGGCUGCCCGGUUUGUGCCCGGCUCGCGCCGCUAGAGUGUCUGAGGUUGGAUUUGAACUUGCAUCUCAGAGCUUUGUCAGAUGCGUAUUUAUAAGUUAUCUAAAUAUACAGGCGGGAUCCCCUGCGGUGGGGACGCAUAGAGCCGCAGGCCCCGUCCGCCCUUCCAGAGCACGCGAAGGGGCCGGCUGCAGCGCCCCGCGCCAGCCGGGGACCAAGGGCCGGCGGCCAACGCUUCCCUCUGUCUUCGGGGAAGGUGCCGGGCCAGGAGGAAACGCUUCUCCCGUCGCUCCCGUCUCCGGCCGGGGAUGCGCCGCUUCUCCGAGGCUUCUGGUCAAUAUAAGCCCUUCCGGUGGGCCUGCCCGCGCCGAGGACGCCCUCGGGCCGCUAACAAAACCCGGACCGGACCGGUGGGGAGAGCGCCCCCCUCAGGCCCUGGGGCGCCAUCCACAAUGGCGGCCUUACUGGGCCUGCGGCAGCAGUGACCGCGCCUGCUCCUGGGCCCAGCCCCCUCCGCCGGCCGGUCCCACAGGGAGCCUGGGAAGGCCCGGCUCCGGCCCAGCCAUCCCUGUCCUGUCCUGCCCGCCCGGCAGGGCCCGCUCAUGGCACAAGGAGGCUCCGAAAGGCGCAGGCCGUGGGGCCCCGCGAACAAGCGGGGCUCAGCCUCUGCCCCGCGGCCCUUACGCGGCCGGCUCGCCAGGGAGUAGCGUCCCGGAGGUGCCCGGUGGGUGCUCGAGGAGGUAACGUUUGCCCUCUGACUGCCCCGCCCCCCAGGACUCGCCUGGCAGGUUCAAAGGCAAGCUGAGAAACGGGAACCAUCCGACUCAAAGGCAGGGACUUGUCAGGACUUUUAAAACGAGACGGAAAAGCCACCAGCUUUGGGCUCUACAUCCACCAUCUCCAAUUCCCAGCCUUAAAACUUAAAUGUCCAUCAAAUAAUCAAGCAUUUAUUGAGUACCUAUUGUUUUCUAUCUUCCUGAAUUCAAACCUGGCCUCUGACAGUUCCUAGCUGUGUGAUCCUGGGCAGGUCACUUAACUCUGAGUGCCUCAGUUUCCUCAUCUGCCAAAUGGACUGGAACAGGAAAUGGUAACCCCCUCCAGGAUCUUCAUCAAGAGUUCUGUGUGGAAUGGAGAGACAAGGUGAAGAACUUACAGGAAUAUGUGAAUUCUUUUUCUGUAGUUUAUUUUCAUUAUUUCUGUGUUUCCCCUAUGAACUGUAUAAUAAUGCAGCCCCAUAUGUACUUGAGCCUUGGCCAACUAUAAACAUAUUUAUUUAACCUGAGCUGAAGACAUUUAUCGGUAUUUAACGUUUAUCGAUAUUUAGUCUAUUAGCUUGACCACAGUCUAUCUGAAGCCUGAAAGCCUGAUUUUCUGUUUCCUAGAAAUUAGGUGAUUUUGGGGAAAUGGAAAUCUUCCAUCCCAAUUUCUCCAGAUAGCAACAAUUAAUUAGAAGCCUCCCCCUCCCCUUCUCAAUGCUCUCUUAUGUGUGAUGUAAUCUCUUGUAUAAAAGCUGUGUAUCUUUACUACUUCUUUAGCCUCCUACCAGGAGCUUUCUCUUUCCCCUAUCUUGUGAUAGAACAGCUCAUCCUCCGGAGGUAUAAUAAGUGACCUUUCUGCUCUCUAUUUUGAGUGAUCUCUGAGUAGUCAUUUUGGGUAAAGGUCUUCUAUAUCCCACCCAGUUGGGGGCUCGUCCGGGAUGGAGUCUUUGGGGGAGAUGGCUGUGUACCCUGGAGAGGGACAGGUGCCCAUGGAGUAGUUUUCUCCAUGGUCUCUGGCUCUGGGUGAGCAGCCUCCCUCUGUCUUAGACAAUGACCCAGGGCAGAGUUACUCAGUGGAAAGCAGAAUUGAAGACUGAAGAUUGAAGGAAGUAGAGUCCUGAUGGCCGGCAUGUGCAGCUUCAAAGAUAUAUCUAGAAGUAUUGGGUACUUUGUAAACUAUAUUAUAAGUUUUAUGAAAUUUGGAUCAAAAUUGUGAAUCUUGAAAUUUAUAAUUUACAAAAAGGUGACUUAAAGACAAGAGAAAAGAAAGAUUGAUUUCCAAAAGCAAUUAAUAGUUUAAAUGGAGUAUCUAGUCAGAAGGGUUAUUGGUUUGGGAGUGUUUAAAGUAUGGCGGAGAAGGUUUGAGCAAGUAGACCUUGGGAGGAGAGAGAGAUAAAGAGAUGGGAUAGGAGAAUGAAGGUGAUUUAAGAAGGAUUGAUUAGUAGGAGCAAAUGAUUCCAAGAAGAAAUCAGUGGGAAAACGAAGGAAUUGGUUGGAAAGGGGAGUCACGGAGAGAUGGCUGGGAGACGGGAUGUGUUUUUGCUGGGGGGGAGCAGCAGAGCAACAGUGGAAAGUUACAGCUGCUUUUGGCUGAAGAAAGCAAACUAUGAUUUAAAGGGACAGACUGCUCUUACAAGAUGUUAAUUGAUUGAACAUUUGUUUCUUUAGAUACAUAAUGUUAUGAAUAUUAAACAAUAUGAUCAGAAAUGUUAUAUAUAUAGUUUGAAAGGGUUAUUUCAAAAAAAGUUUAAUUGAUAUUUUCAAGAACUUUUCAAAUUCUUUUAUGUGAAAAUGGGAAGUUUUAAUGAACUGUAUUGAUGCCAAUCAUCUGAAAGGGACUCCAAGAAUAAUAGUUUUUGCCUUCGUCCUUUUGAAAAUGUUUUUGUUGUGAACAAUAUGUAGUUUGGGAUUUUUCUGUGUAUUGGGUAUUUUAAAAGCAAAAUGACUGAUAUAAUAUUCAACUUAUUCAAGAUUCAACAUCUACUUGGGUUUGUAAGAAUUGCGUGAAUUUUCUGGGACCGAUAGAAGGUUAUGGUAAAUAUCUGUUUAGGACAUGUCUGAAACUUGGUUAAUAGAAUUUGUUAUAAGAAGUAAAAUUCUUUGGAUUUAUAAUUAAUGCUAUUUGAGGGUUUACAGCUCCACCCUCUGACAGUUAAUGAGACAAUUAACGGGAGUAAAAAUGAAUUAAAGCUAUUUUAAACUGUUUUGCUGAAAGUUAAGUUUUAACUGCUUAUGUUAUGUUAUAGUUAUGUUCUUGCAUUUUUUCUUCCUGUGACUGAUUUCUAUGAUCAGAGCAAUGGUCGAUAGAAACUUAAUGCAAUUCAAUUAUGUCAUACCUUGUUGUUUCCAACCUGGUUAUAUGUAAUCAUUAUAUCCUAAAUGCUUAGGCAAAUAAGUAUUUAGCCUGGUCAUCUGUCUGUUAUUGGAUAUUUGGGUUUGUUUUUAAAACCUUUUAAAAGGUUUCUAAAUGAUAAGAGGACAAUUAACAAUGGUCUGUGAAAUUUAACUGCUGUUUUAUUUAUUGGGAAUAUAGUUGACAGCUGUUUGGCUGUCUUGUGAAAGAAAUUCCUCUUCACAUUUGGUGAAUCAAGUCUUUCUAUCUCAGACUGUUCUAACCUUGUUAGAUUUGGUUGUUCUAGAUUUAGGUCAAAUAACAGAUUAUUGAAUGACAUGAAUCGGCCCAUCUGAAGCUUAGAUUGACGCUAGACCCGCACCUUGCAUGGAUUGAGAGCCUUUGCCCAUUUCUCAGCCCGAAGCAGCUGAGACUGAGACCAUCGCCCCUGCUCCUGUUGUAAUUUGGACUGAUAUGGGGGAAGUGGGAAAGUGGUUGAAUUAUUGUUAAACUGUAUUACCGUGUGUUUAAGAUUUGGGAUGGAAAUUGUUACAUUGUGUAAUUAUUGCUAUUAUGGAUAUAUAGGAACUUUCUAUGUGGGAUGGUUAAUUGAUGCUUUAGCUUUGAGAUCCCUUAUUCUGUUGGAAUUGCUCUGGCAGACUAUUCUCUGAUUGCCUGUUUUUAGGAAAUCUCCAAGAUAUAGAUACCUGUCCUGGGACUGGCAGUCUCCAGCCCUGUAACCCCAGUUUCUUAAUUGGUAUCUCUGCAUUCUCAAAGGACGUUUCGGGCUCUAAAGUUUGGAGUUUGUCUGCCUUGAUGGUCUAACUGUAUGCUCUGAUAGCUCUGCUCAGAAAUCUGUAUCCUAGUAGCAGCCCUGUCUGUACCUCUGAGUGGUGACAGGUGGAGCUACUCCAAGCCUCACCCUUCUCCCCUGGAGUGGGGGUGCCUCUCUGAAUGGGCAGAAUGACUGUCUCAAGCCCUGCUACUCCCUAUAUAAGAAGAAGCUGAGUUAAGUGCACAAAUGACUGCAGACUAUCUAACACAGUGAACCGUCCAUCUCAACCUGGAUUCUCUGGCUGAGAUGAGGGCCUUUAUACUGCUGAUAACUCUGGGGUUGUCAGGAAGACAACCCCAAUGGAAGGUUGCCCUUGCCAUAAGUUCUUACCUUGGGUUGGUCAAAAUUAUGGUACUGAGACCUCCCAGGUAUCUAGGGGAGAUAAUUCAAUAAUUCAGAUAUUCAGAAGGAGAGUGUGUAAUGUUGUGCCUCAGUUUCCCUAGAUUGUCAUCUUUAUUAAUUUAUCAUUUUUUUUAUGUCUGCCAAAUGCCAUUCUGUUCUGUGAUAACUGUUUCUAAGAUAGUUAAUGGAAGCAAUUUUUAUGGUAUGGACUUAUUGCAAUCAGUGACAUUAUCCUGUUGCCACUAUGUCUACCCUGUAUAAUUACAUUAGUAACCACAAUAGUUCAAAAUUAUUAUGCUAUGCUAUUAAAAUGAUUCUUCAGAGAAAAGGCUGGAAUGUAUUAGAGAAGGAUGAUCUUGAUGGCGAACUUGAUAAACCUGUAUAGAUAUGUUAACUGAUUUUGAACAGUGUGUAAGUUCUUCAUAGCAAUAUGAUAAAAAUCAUUUACAUAUAACAAGAGGGGAAUUGUGUAGAAUAGAGAGAUAAGGUGAAGAACUUCCAGGAAUAUGUGAAUUCUUUUUCUGUAUUUUGUUUUCAUUAUUUCUGUGUUUCCCCUAUGACCUGUAUAAUAUGUGUAGGCCCAUAUGUACUUGAGCCUUGGCCAGCGAUAUCUGAAACCUGAAGUCCUGAUUUUCUGUUUCCUAGAAAUCAGGUGAUUUCGGGAAAAGAGAAACCUUCCAUUUCAAUCUCUCCAGAGAGUAACAGCCAAGUAGAUGCCCCCUCCUCCCCUUCUCGAUGCUCUCUUAUUGUGAUGUAAUCUAUAAAAGCUUUGUAUCUUUGCUACUUCUUUUGGCCUCCUACCAGGAGCUUUCUCUUUCCCUUGUCUCGUGAUAGAAGGACUCAUCCUCCAGAGGUAUAAUAAAUGACUUUUCUACUUUCUAUUUUGAGUGAUCUCUGAGUAGUCAUUUUGGGUAAGGGUCUUCUAUUCUACAUCCCACACAAUUCCAAAUGGGAUCAUGAAGAGUCGAACACAAAUGAAAGAUGACUGAACAAUAUCACGUUUC
ensembl:lncRNA